rnacentral:rRNA from 1 species
UACAGAGACUGCAAGCGUUAUUCGGAUUCACUGGGCGUAAAGGGUGCGCAGGCGGCCGUGUGUGUGAGGCGUGAAAGCCCGGGGCUUAACCCCGGAAUUGCACCUCAAACUACACGGCUAGAGCAUUGGAGAGGGUAGCAGAAUUCAUGGUGUAUCAGUGAAAUGCGUAGAUAUCAGGAGGAACACCGGUGGCGAAGGCGGGUCUCUGGGCCGAUAUCGACGCUGAGGAGCGAAAGCGUGGGGAGCGAACAGG